rnacentral:tRNA from 1 species
AGUUUUAAUAGUUUAAAAAAAACAUCGGUCUUGUAAACCGGAAUUAAAGAGCCCCCCCACUUUUAAAACUUC